rnacentral:lncRNA from 1 species
GGUUGGUCAUAGAGCUUCCCCUCUCUUGGAAGUCAUCUCUUCGGGCUUGGUGUGAUUGGGCAAAGCUCUCUCCUUGAUAUGAUUUCUUCGGGCUUAGUGGUCGGCCCAAUCUGAGUUCGGUAAAGAGCGUCCGAAUCUUAUCCUCCAUUCGCGCCUCCAAGGCUUCGAAUUUAGCAUUGAUUGCCUCCUUAGAUGCCAUAGUAUAUGGCCCCAAAUCAAUGAUGUUAAGAUCUCUCUUUUGCUGUUGGGUUAAAGGCAUGUAUAGGUUGAGAGAAGUGAUGGUCGAAAGUGUUGGUGGAUUGGUGGAUGUAGGCUACGGUUUAGGCUUGUUUUGUGGCUGUUUUGGGUGCAGUUUGAGGGUGUGGUUUGGUAGAGUUUUAGGGCUCUGGAUGAAAGUUUUGGAUCUGUGGUAGAUGGUAGCAAAGGUUUGACAGAAAUCCGUGGAAGUUGCAGCAAGUAUGUGCUGUCUUGUAAGAGUAGAAUUGUCGUCGAAGAAACAACGGUUUCUCGACGUAAUUUCCACCAAAAACUUAAGAGAAUUGAGGAGGGAAUUGAUAGCAAAAUCACAGUUUNNNNNN